rnacentral:rRNA from 1 species
GACGAACGCUGGCGGCGUGCUUAACACAUGCAAGUCGAACGGAUAGCCCCGCUUCCUGGGGCAUCAGUGGCAACCGGGUGCGUAACACUUACGCAACCUGCCCUCACCUCUGGGAUAACUCCAAGAAAUUGAGGCUAGUACCGAUUAUGACCGCUGACCUCAUGCGCUGGUGGUGAAAGGGUUCGUCGGCGUGGGUUGGACCGGCGGCUUAUCCGCUUGUGGGUGGGGUAGUGGCUAACCAAGGCGCCUACGGGUAGCCGGCCUGAGAGGGUGACCGGCCACACUGGGACUGAGACACGGCACAGACUCGUACGGGAGGCAGCAGUGGGGAAUAUUGCGGAAUGGGCGCAAGCCUGACGCAGCGACGCCGCGUGGGGGAUGACGGCCUUCGGGGUGUAAACCUCUUUCAGCAGGGACGAAGCGAAAGUGACGGUACCUGCAGAAGAAGCACCGGCCAACUACGUG